rnacentral:rRNA from 1 species
AAUCAACGCUGGCGGCGUGCCUAACACAUGCAAGUCGUACGAGAAAGAGGGGGCAACCCCUUGAGUACAGUGGCGUACGGGUGAGUAACACGUGACUAACCUACCUUCGAGUGGGGAAUAACCUCGGGAAACCGGGGCUAAGACCGCAUAAUAUCUUUGGGUUAAAUUCCUGAUGAUCAAAUGCGCAAGCAGCUUGAAGAGGGGGUCGCGGUUGAUUAGCUAGUUGGUGGGGUAAUGGCCCACCAAGGCGAUGAUCAAUAGCCGGCCUGAGAGGGCGCACGGCCACACUGGAACUGAAACACGGUCCAGACUCCUACGGGAGGCAGCAGUGGGGAAUUUUGCGCAAUGGGGGAAACCCUGACGCAGCAACGCCGCGUGGAGGAUGAAGUCCCUUGGGAUGUAAACUCCUUUCGAUCGGGAAGAUAAUGACGGUACCGGAAGAAGAAGCCCCGGCUAACUCUGUGCCAGCAGCCGCCGCAGUAAG